rnacentral:rRNA from 1 species
AGUGAACGCUGGCGGUAGGCCUAACACAUGCAAGUCGAACGGCAGCACAGUAAGAGCUUGCUCUUACGGGUGGCGAGUGGCGGACGGGUGAGGAAUACAUCGGAAUCUACUUUUUCGUGGGGGAUAACGUAGGGAAACUUACGCUAAUACCGCAUACGACCUACGGGUGAAAGCAGGGGAUCUUCGGACCUUGCGCGAUUGAAUGAGCCGAUGUCGGAUUAGCUAGUUGGCGGGGUAAAGGCCCACCAAGGCGACAAUCCGUAGCUGGUCUGAGAGGAUGAUCAGCCACACUGGAACGGAAACACGGUCCAGACUCCUACGGGAGGCAGCAGUGGGGAAUAUUGGACAAUGGGCGCAAGCCUGAUCCAGCCAUACCGCGUGGGUGAAGAAGGCCUUCGGGUUGUAAAGCCCUUUUGUUGGGAAAGAAAAGCAGCAGGUUAAUACCCCGCUGUUCUGACGGUACCCAAAGAAUAAGCACCGGCUAACUUCGUG